AUCUAUCACUGUCAAUCUAUCUAUCACUGCUAAUCUAUCACUGCUAAUCUAUCACUACUAAUCUAUUACUGUCAAUCUAUCUAUUACUGUCAAUCUAUCUACUGCUGUCAAUCUAUCUACUGCUGUCAAUCUAUCUAUCACUGCUACUCUAUCACUGCUAAUCUAUCACUGCUAAUCUAUUGCUGCUAAUCUAUUACUGCUAAUCUAUUGCUGCUAAUCUAUCGCCGUCAAUCUAUCUACUGCUGUCAAUCUAUCUACCACUUUCAAUCUAUCUAUCACUGCC
rnacentral:sRNA from 2 species